rnacentral:rRNA from 1 species
AUUGAACGCUGGCGGCAUGCCUUACACAUGCAAGUCGAACGGCAGCACGGGGCAACCUGGUGGCGAGUGGCGAACGGGUGCGUAAUGCAUCGGAACGUACCUUUCAGUGGGGGAUAACGUAGCGAAAGUUACGCUAAUACCGCAUAUUCUGUGAGCAGGAAAGCAGGGGAUCGCAAGACCUUGCGCUGAUUGAGCGGCCGAUGUCAGAUUAGCUACUUGGUGAGGUAAAGGCUCACCAAGGCGACGAUCUGUAGCGGGUCUGAGAGGAUGAUCCGCACACUGGAACUGGGACACGGUCCAGACUCCUACGGGAGGCAGCAGUGGGGAAUUUUGGACAAUGGGGGCAACCCUGAUCCAGCCAUGCCGCGUGAGUGAAGAAGGCCUUCGGGUUGUAAAGCUCUUUCGGCCGGGAAGAAAUCGCACGGGCUAAUACCCUGUGUGGAUGACGGUACCGGAAUAAGAAGCACCGGCUAACUACGUGCCAGCCGCCGCGGUAAUAC